rnacentral:rRNA from 1 species
UACGAAGGGGGCUAGCGUUGCUCGGAAUCACUGGGCGUAAAGCGCACGUAGGCGGACUUUUAAGUCGGAGGUGAAAUCCUGGAGCUCAACUCCAGAACUGCCUUCGAUACUGAGAGUCUUCGAGUUCGGGAGAGGUGAGUGGAACUGCGAGUGUAGAGGUGAAAUUCGUAGAUAUUCGCAAGAACACCAGUGGCGAAGGCGGCUCACUGGCC